rnacentral:rRNA from 1 species
UACGGAGGGUGCAAGCGUUAAUCGGAAUUACUGGGCGUAAAGCGCACGCAGGCGGUCUGUUAAGUCGGAUGUGAAAUCCCCGGGCUCAACCUGGGAACUGCAUUUGAAACUGGCAGGCUUGAGUCUAGUAGAGGGGGGCAGAAUUGCCGGUGUAGCGGUGAAAUGCGUAGAGAUCUGGAGGAAUACCGAUGGCGAAGGCGGCCCCCUGGACGAAGACUGACGCUCAGGUGCGAAAGCGUGGGGAGCAAACAGG